rnacentral:rRNA from 1 species
AGUGAACGCUGGCGGUAGGCCUAACACAUGCAAGUCGAACGGCAGCACAGUAAGAGCUUGCUCUUACGGGUGGCGAGUGGCGGACGGGUGAGGAAUACAUCGGAAUCUACUUUUUCGUGGGGGAUAACGUAGGGAAACUUACGCUAAUACCGCAUACCACCUACGGGUGAAAGCAGGGGAUCUUCGGACCUUGCGCGAUUGAAUUAGCCGAUGUCGGAUUAGCUAGUUGGCGGGGUAAAGGCCCACCAAGGCGACGAUCCGUAGCUGGUCUGAGAGGAUGAUCAGCCACACUGGAACUGAGACACGGUCCAGACUCCUAAGGGAGGCAGCAGUGGGGAAUAUUGGACAAUGGGCGCAAGCCUGAUCCAGCCAUACCGCGUGGGUGAAGAAGGCCUUCGGGUUGUAAAGCCCUUUUGUUGGGAAAGAAAAGCAGCAGGUUAAUACCCCGCUGUUCUGACGGUACCCAAAGAAUAAGCACCGGCUAACUUCGUG